rnacentral:lncRNA from 1 species
UUCAAAAUAAACAAUCUAAGAGAAGUAGAAGAAGAGUCAAAAUAAGUAGUUAUUGGCCUGUUAACUUUGAUGAUAUACCAACACAAUAAACCAGCUAUGAAGGCCUAAUGGUUUGGGCGUAACGGAGGAUCCUUGUAACGCUUUUGUUGAAAGGAGACUAUAUUAAUUGAUAUGCUUGUUAAGCCUGCUGUAUGGUUGGGUGCAAACCAGCUUAGAACUGAACUUGCAUGUUUUCUGUUUUUCUGAUGUGCUAUGUUGGGCAAUCACAAAUGCACCUGUGAAUGAUUUCAACAUGCUUGGGCGAUGGAAACAAAACAAGACAUCCGUCCAUAACGGCAGGUAUUUUGGUGCCAGUGCAGCCUCUUCCUGUGAUCAAAGUGAAGGGAAACACUAGACUGUGUCACAACGCGACAUGGGUGCACCACAAAGUCUUCAACAUCGUAUAGGGGAGAAAGACAUUAUCGUAGCCUGCUUGUUAAGAUAGCAACAUGACAAACACACAGAGGAGAUAUAUGAUGGGGCUUUUCGUUGUGUUGAUGCUCAUCUAUUCAACAGAGGCCUAUUUGAAUGACCCUGCCGUCUGUUACAUGCUGGACGGGAUUCUCCUUUGUUACUGCAUUAUUGUGACAGCCCUGUUUUUCAAUAUCAAGGUGAGAUUCAGCACAACUUCAAUGUUUCAACUUCUAAUUUCAUUGGCAAUAACCAACAGGCUGAGAUAAAAAAUUGACCCCCCCCGGUCAAUUUGUUCAAACUGUGAAAUGUGCAUAGGCCCCACUUGUCAAAAUGAUUAUUUUAUUAAACUUUUCUGUGAGUUUUCUCAUCUAAUCAAAUGUUCUGAACUUUUUCAGUAUUUUCCUAAACAAAUGGAUCUUCAAAGCGAAGGGGGCAAUGUGGGUCAGCCUGUCAUUGAAUUACAAGAAAUGAAACAAUCUCGUAAGAAAAAGAAGCGCCAAGUUGAUGGGGUAAGCAACAAUUCUCAUGUUCCAAGUCUCCCCUUGAAGACACCUGAAGGGUAUGUGGUGUACAGAGGAAGUAAAAUGUUUAGACAAGCAACAACUUGGGUUUGUGGCAAUACCCCAUUUUUGAUUAUUCAAUCACUUCAGUAG